UUGAACUUAAGCCCUGAAACCAUAAAACUCAGAAGAAAGCACAGGCAGUAAGCUCCUUGACUUGGAUCAUGGUGAUGGUAUUUUUAAUCUGAUACCAAACCCAGCUUCCCUGCUUUGUGGUAGGCCACACAUAGGCUUCAUCAACUAAUAAAGAAUUUCUAUCCUAUCAAUUAAAUUACUAGGAGAAAUAAAAAGCAGGCAUUCUUCCAUUUUUCAUAAUUUCUUACAAUGGUCUAAACCUUCACCAAAAGGAAAGGUCACCUUACCAUAGAGGUAGCUGCCACUUUAAUUAAAUUUAAUAAAUAAAAAUUGGUGGUCACAUUGCUUGCUUAGUCUCUUUAUUCAAGACUGCCAAAGAGUACCUCCUAGAAAAAGCCUUCCCUGACCAUCCCAUCUCAAAGAGCACCCUCUCUCUCCCAGACUCUGUCCCAUGCUCUGCUUUAUGUAUCUUUUUUAGCACUCACCACUGUCAUAAUAAUUUUUAAAUUUUCUUUCUUUCGCAGUAAAACAAACUCUAUGAAGGCAAGAUUGAUUCUUUUGGUCUUAUUCAACAGCAAUAGAACAAUGCUAGUGCUUCUAACAACACAAUAAUGGAUGUUCAGUAUAUCUUUGUUGAAUGAUUGGGAGAUUCAUUUAUUCUACUUAUUCAAAAUAGUCAAUUAUUUACUGUCAUAGCUCUACUAAUCCUUUAAUUGUUUGCAAAUUAUUGACAACUAGAUAAAAAAAGCUACAAGAUGAGAUACAUAGGAGCAACUACCAAUUCAUGAUUGAUCUGAAAUGAAAGUAAAGCAUCCUAAAUGUGUAUGCGUAUCAAUGGGAAAAUUAGAUUUGAUUUAUAGAAAUAUAAUUUGCAGGGAUGAUUUUGUGCAUUUUUAAUAUGUAAGUCAAGGCACUGAUGGUAUUUUCUUAUGCUUUGGUAAACUGAGUCUGGGCCCUCUUCCAGUGGACAUGGACAACUUCCAAACCCAGAGGUACAUUCUGAACCCAUGGUCAACACUCUGAAGUCCAGCAGUAAACAGUCUGAGAGAGCAAACGUCUCCAACAGUGGUGAAGCCCCUGUGGAAAGUGCCUUUAGAACAGCAGAGACCACUAAAGGGCUCCCCGGUUAAAGCAAAGGGCAACCAGAACACUCCAACGUGGACUCCACCUGCAAAGCUGUUCAAGUGGUACCCGGAAAGGGUGCUCCAAUAGGCUGCUAUAAGACCCAGAGGAGGACACUGAGACCCUAGAUGAUGACAGAGUGACUACAUGGACAGAGUCUUAAUCUUGAAUGAUUUCAUGAAGCACUCUCCUUUUAACCAUCUCAUAAAUUGCACUGGACUUGAGCAAUGAAUAAAUGAAUAAAUAAUUAAAUAAAUCUCACUGAGAUUUGGGGACUGUUUAUUCCAGCAGUUAACCCACUCUAAUACCUUGAUCAUGCUGAUCCCCUAUUCCAGCCUGGCAAAAGAAUCUUCACUCUUGAUUUUAUUGCCAGUCUUGAUAAGGGUCUCUUUCAAUUACCUGAUUUUAUUGUCUAUGUGGUCAAGCAUCCAUGCUUCCAUUUCUCCUCAGCUCAGUAACAUUCCCAUAUGGAUCUCUCUUUUUCUUGUUUUCUGAGUCUAUAUGAAAAUGGUGUUAGUUCUGAGCCCUUGACUUUUAUGCUGUAGGAUCAUAGUGUGUGAGUCCUGCUCUAAGGGAAAAGUACCUGUCACUGUGAAAGAUUUACUUUGAACUAUCUAUAACUAUAAAAUCAAUGAAUAGAUUAAUUCAGGCUAUAGUUAGGGAGAAAAAAAAAUGUGGGUUUUAAGUGAUAAAUUUGAUUAAUGUAUGGAAACUCAGUAAAAAGAAUUUGAUAAAGAC